rnacentral:rRNA from 1 species
GGGGAAUAUUGGACAAUGGGCGCAAGCCUGAUCCAGCCAUGCCGCGUGAGUGAUGAAGGCCCUAGGGUUGUAAAGCUCUUUCAACGGUGAAGAUAAUGACGGUAACCGUAGAAGAAGCCCCGGCUAACUUCGUGCCAGCAGCCGCGGUAAUACGAAGGGGGCUAGCGUUGUUCGGAAUUACUGGGCGUAAAGCGCACGUAGGCGGAUUGGUCAGUUAGGGGUGAAAUCCCAGGGCUCAACCCUGGAACUGCCUUUAAUACUGCCGGUCUAGAGUUCGAGAGAGGUGAGUGGAAUUCCGAGUGUAGAGGUGAAAUGCGUAGAUAUGCGGAGGAACACCAGUGGCGAAGGCGGCUCACUGGCUCGAUACUGACGCUGAGGUGCGAAAGCGUGGGGAGCAAAC